rnacentral:rRNA from 1 species
CCAGACUCCUACGGGAGGCAGCAGUGAGGAAUAUUGGUCAAUGGCCGGAAGGCUGAACCAGCCAAGCCGCGUGAGGGAGGAAGGCGCAGAGCGUCGCAGACCUCUUUUGCCGGGGGACAAAAGGCCGGACGGGUCCGGUUCUGAGGGUACCCGGAGAAAAAGCAUCGGCUAACUCCGUGCCAGCAGCCGCGGUAAUACGUAGGUGGCAAGCGUUAUCCGGAUUUACUGGGUGUAAAGGGCGUGUAGGCGGGACUGCAAGUCAGAUGUGAAAAUUAUGGGCUCAACCCAUAACCUGCAUUUGAAACUGUAGUUCUUGAGUGAUGGAGAGGCAGGCGGAAUUCCGUGUGUAGCGGUGAAAUGCGUAGAUAUACGGAGGAACACCAGUGGCGAAGGCGGCCUGCUGGACAUUAACUGACGCUGAGGCGCGAAAGCGUGGGGAGCCAACAGGAUUAGAUACCCUGGUA